rnacentral:lncRNA from 1 species
GCAUAAGCCUAGCAUGGGUCGAUCCCUAUUUCAUGUGUUUAUGGGUGGUAUCCCAGGGGCAUAAGCCUAGCAUGGGUCGAUCCCAGUUGAUAUGUACUGGAGGCAUCCUAAUGGUCACAGUACAGUACAGUAAUGAUUACAAAGACGAUAAGAACGAAGGUAAAGUGAUUGAAUAAAUACAAUGUACAGGUUGUCACAAGUUCUAGUAAGUGUGGUCCACUCCUAUUACGACUUAUUCACUUGUUUCUGAUUUCUAUUAAGCUCCUAUAUCAUAUGUGAUUAUUUACAGCUUUACAUACUCAGUACAUAUUUCGUACUGACGUCCCUCACGGGGGACCUGCAUUUCAUGCUGCAGGCACAGGUACCUCAGCUCAUACACCGCACAAGUAGGAGCCAGGUCAUACAGCUAUUGUUGGUGAGCUCCAGUUUGCUUCGGAGCUUUCCGAGUCGGUUCCUUAUGUUUUGUUAUUGUACAUGAGUCAUGUGUGGGCAGGGGUUUGUCCCGACCCUAGUUAUGUCAUGUAUAUCCUAGAGGCUUUGUAGACAUAAGGAAGGGUAAAGUCAUGGAAGUUUAUAUAGUGAUGUUAUAUCUGUAUAUGUGGUGGCCCCGACGGCCAAGUAUUAUAUAUAUAUAUAUAUAUAUUUGCGCGUGUUGUGCUGAUACAGGUAAUUAGACCUUUCUAUAUGCAACGAAGUGCUGUCCAAUUUUUUUGGUGACAUGUAAGUGAAAGUACAGGUAUUUGAACGGGUUCUCCCGGGCCUUCUCGGCU